AUUGUCUACUUUGAACUGGGCACAACAGGUAAUGUUUCUGGAAACAGGAACACUUACCUGAAUAGGUGGCCUUAGAUCCAGCAUGAUCAUUCAAAUUGAGGGUUAAGACUGCUUAGGAACAAGGUGAAGUGGAUAAAACUAUACACUGCCAGUCCUAAGAAAUGGAGACAGAAAAUGGGGUUGUAUGGUUCUGUGUAGGUGAUGCACGAAGAAGCCACUUGUGAGCAAACUUCAGAAGGAUCUGUGCUAAGUACUUGGAUCUCAUCAAGGCAGCUUGGAAAGCAAACAAGACAGAAUGUUCACAUAAUGAUAUGAAGAUUUGAACCACAAAAUUCUGCAAAGGGGCGUAUUGAUCCAGUAUAGAACUGAUGAGACUGUAAGCCUGUGGUGACAGGCCAGAAGAGCAAAACAUUACAAAAAGGAGCAUGCAGUUUUUUAACACAGGACGCUUUCUCAAGUGAGUGUUAUCUGAAGGAAUCACGAGGACAUCACAGCAACUGUGGAUCUAGUCCUUGAAGCAGUUUGGUGUCUGUCCCUACCUAGACAGGUUGGGCUCCAUGAGGAGGAACGUGGCCUGAGUAUCUGUCCUCCUCACCAUCAGCUUUUCCAGUGUGGGUGCUGUGGGAGCAGCUGCCUUCCACCCUUGCAGCCAUGCUUUCCCUGCCAAGGUGGACUGUUCCCUCAACUGUGAGCAGAAAUGAAGCAUCCUGCAGGGCAUUUGGGCUCAGCGAUGGCAAAAGUAACUAAGGAUUCUGCAAGGCUCUGCUCAUGGAGAGUAGCCACGUCACCAAUUAUAUGUCACCAAUUAUUAGCGUCACAUGAAUUCCAGAAGAUCACAUGGUCAAGUUAU